UGUGGCCCAACCCGGCAUAGUCCUGCCCGCUGGUUAAGGGUUGAUGGGUGCUAAAGGGCUUAGGGAUCAAAGCCUCGUUAAGAAGCUCUCAGCCAUGCCUAGCAGGCCGUUAGGCUCAGCACACACAUGGUCAGCACACGGUCCCCCAAACAAACAGACCAUACGGUAUAUUUCAAUCAAGCAACAAGCACAUCACAAACACAAACACUACAGACAACAAACUUACCCCAAGGGUCACAUAAUUGCUCCUCCUUCACCUGGAGAACUCCCUCCCAAAACCCCCCUGUUAGCCGCUCCUGUUCACUAGCUUCCUGACCUCAUCAUGUGACUCCAGGAGCUGGGGCUCAAAGCACAAGCCAACAGGGUUUAUGCUUUAAUCUGGCCCAGCUCCUUGGAAUACUUAACA